rnacentral:rRNA from 1 species
AUUGAACGCUGGCGGCAGGCUUAACACAUGCAAGUCGAGCGAGCGGCGGACGGGUGAGUAAUGUCUGGGAAACUGCCUGAUGGAGGGGGAUAACUACUGGAAACGGUAGCUAAUACCGCAUACCAUCAGAUGUGCCCAGAUGGGAUUAGCUAGUAGGUGGGGUAAUGGGUCACCUAGGCGACGAUCCCUAGCUGGUCUGCGAGGAUGACGAGCAAAACUGGAACGGAGACACGGGCAAGAAUCGUACGGGAGGAAGCAGUGGGGAAUAUGGGACAAUGGGCGCAAGCCUGAUGCAGCCAUGCCGCGUGUGGGAAGAAGGACUUCGGGUGGUAAAGCACGGUAAGCGAGGAGGCGUUACUCGAAGAAGAAGCACCGGCUAACUCCGUGCCAGCCGCCGCGGUAAUAC